UUCCAGACUCCUACGGGAGGCAGCAGUGGGGAAUAUUGCACAAUGGGGGAAACCCUGAUGCAGCGACGCCGCGUGAGCGAUGAAGUAUUUCGGUAUGUAAAGCUCUAUCAGCAGGGAAGAAGAUGACGGUACCUGACUAAGAAGCCCCGGCUAACUACGUGCCAGCAGCCGCGGUAAUACGUAGGGGGCAAGCGUUAUCCGGAUUUACUGGGUGUAAAGGGAGCGUAGACGGCGAUGCAAGCCAGAUGUGAAAGCCCGGGGCUCAACCCCGGGACUGCAUUUGGAACUGUGUGGCUGGAGUGUCGGAGAGGCAGGCGGAAUUCCUAGUGUAGCGGUGAAAUGCGUAGAUAUUAGGAGGAACACCAGUGGCGAAGGCGGCCUGCUGGACGAUGACUGACGUUGAGGCUCGAAAGUGUGGGGAGCAAACAGGAUUAGAUACCCCAGUA
rnacentral:rRNA from 1 species